UUAACUCAAUUUUGUAUGGAGUUCGAAGGUUUACCUACGUUUGUCGCUAGAGGCACUGUUCCAACUGUAUACAGAUUUCAGUUA
rfam:Bombyx mori DNA, contig: Bm_scaf69_contig30746, strain: p50T/Dazao, build 2, whole genome shotgun sequence.